AGCGUACACGGUGGAUGCCCUGGCAGUCAGAGGCGAUGAAGGACGUGCUAAUCUGCGAUAAGCGUCGGUGAGGUGAUAUGAACCGUUAUAACCGGCGAUUUCCGAAUGGGGAAACCCAGUGUGUUUCGACACACUAUCAUUAACUGAAUCCAUAGGUUAAUGAGGCGAACCGGGGGAACUGAAACAUCUAAGUACCCCGAGGAAAAGAAAUCAACCGAGAUUCCCCCAGUAGCGGCGAGCGAACGGGGAGGAGCCCAGAGCCUGAAUCAGUGUGUGUGUUAGUGGAAGCGUCUGGAAAGGCGCGCGAUACAGGGUGACAGCCCCGUACACAAAAAUGCACAUAUUGUGAGCUCGAUGAGUAGGGCGGGACACGUGGUAUCCUGUCUGAAUAUGGGGGGACCAUCCUCCAAGGCUAAAUACUCCUGACUGACCGAUAGUGAACCAGUACCGUGAGGGAAAGGCGAAAAGAACCCCGGCGAGGGGAGUGAAAAAGAACCUGAAACCGUGUACGUACAAGCAGUGGGAGCCUCUUUAUGGGGUGACUGCGUACCUUUUGUAUAAUGGGUCAGCGACUUAUAUUCUGUAGCAAGGUUAACCGAAUAGGGGAGCCGAAGGGAAACCGAGUCUUAACUGGGCGUUAAGUUGCAGGGUAUAGACCCGAAACCCGGUGAUCUAGCCAUGGGCAGGUUGAAGGUUGGGUAACACUAACUGGAGGACCGAACCGACUAAUGUUGAAAAAUUAGCGGAUGACUUGUGGCUGGGGGUGAAAGGCCAAUCAAACCGGGAGAUAGCUGGUUCUCCCCGAAAGCUAUUUAGGUAGCGCCUCGUGAAUUCAUCUCCGGGGGUAGAGCACUGUUUCGGCAAGGGGGUCAUCCCGACUUACCAACCCGAUGCAAACUGCGAAUACCGGAGAAUGUUAUCACGGGAGACACACGGCGGGUGCUAACGUCCGUCGUGAAGAGGGAAACAACCCAGACCGCCAGCUAAGGUCCCAAAGUCAUGGUUAAGUGGGAAACGAUGUGGGAAGGCCCAGACAGCCAGGAUGUUGGCUUAGAAGCAGCCAUCAUUUAAAGAAAGCGUAAUAGCUCACUGGUCGAGUCGGCCUGCGCGGAAGAUGUAACGGGGCUAAACCAUGCACCGAAGCUGCGGCAGCGACACUAUGUGUUGUUGGGUAGGGGAGCGUUCUGUAAGCCUGUGAAGGUGGCCUGUGAGGGUUGCUGGAGGUAUCAGAAGUGCGAAUGCUGACAUAAGUAACGAUAAAGCGGGUGAAAAGCCCGCUCGCCGGAAGACCAAGGGUUCCUGUCCAACGUUAAUCGGGGCAGGGUGAGUCGACCCCUAAGGCGAGGCCGAAAGGCGUAGUCGAUGGGAAACAGGUUAAUAUUCCUGUACUUGGUGUUACUGCGAAGGGGGGACGGAGAAGGCUAUGUUGGCCGGGCGACGGUUGUCCCGGUUUAAGCGUGUAGGCUGGUUUUCCAGGCAAAUCCGGAAAACCAAGGCUGAGGCGUGAUGACGAGGCACUACGGUGCUGAAGCGACAAAUGCCCUGCUUCCAGGAAAAGCCUCUAAGCAUCAGGUAACAUCAAAUCGUACCCCAAACCGACACAGGUGGUCAGGUAGAGAAUACCAAGGCGCUUGAGAGAACUCGGGUGAAGGAACUAGGCAAAAUGGUGCCGUAACUUCGGGAGAAGGCACGCUGAUAUGUAGGUGAAGCGACUUGCUCGUGGAGCUGAAAUCAGUCGAAGAUACCAGCUGGCUGCAACUGUUUAUUAAAAACACAGCACUGUGCAAACACGAAAGUGGACGUAUACGGUGUGACGCCUGCCCGGUGCCGGAAGGUUAAUUGAUGGGGUUAGCGGCAACGCGAAGCUCUUGAUCGAAGCCCCGGUAAACGGCGGCCGUAACUAUAACGGUCCUAAGGUAGCGAAAUUCCUUGUCGGGUAAGUUCCGACCUGCACGAAUGGCGUAAUGAUGGCCAGGCUGUCUCCACCCGAGACUCAGUGAAAUUGAACUCGCUGUGAAGAUGCAGUGUACCCGCGGCAAGACGGAAAGACCCCGUGAACCUUUACUAUAGCUUGACACUGAACAUUGAGCCUUGAUGUGUAGGAUAGGUGGGAGGCUUUGAAGUGUGGACGCCAGUCUGCAUGGAGCCGACCUUGAAAUACCACCCUUUAAUGUUUGAUGUUCUAACGUUGGCCCGUAAUCCGGGUUGCGGACAGUGUCUGGUGGGUAGUUUGACUGGGGCGGUCUCCUCCUAAAGAGUAACGGAGGAGCACGAAGGUUGGCUAAUCCUGGUCGGACAUCAGGAGGUUAGUGCAAUGGCAUAAGCCAGCUUGACUGCGAGCGUGACGGCGCGAGCAGGUGCGAAAGCAGGUCAUAGUGAUCCGGUGGUUCUGAAUGGAAGGGCCAUCGCUCAACGGAUAAAAGGUACUCCGGGGAUAACAGGCUGAUACCGCCCAAGAGUUCAUAUCGACGGCGGUGUUUGGCACCUCGAUGUCGGCUCAUCACAUCCUGGGGCUGAAGUAGGUCCCAAGGGUAUGGCUGUUCGCCAUUUAAAGUGGUACGCGAGCUGGGUUUAGAACGUCGUGAGACAGUUCGGUCCCUAUCUGCCGUGGGCGCUGGAGAACUGAGGGGGGCUGCUCCUAGUACGAGAGGACCGGAGUGGACGCAUCACUGGUGUUCGGGUUGUCAUGCCAAUGGCACUGCCCGGUAGCUAAAUGCGGAAGAGAUAAGUGCUGAAAGCAUCUAAGCACGAAACUUGCCCCGAGAUGAGUUCU
rnacentral:rRNA from 1 species